GACGAACGCUGGCGGCGUGCUUAACACAUGCAAGUCGAACGGAAAGGCCCUGCUUUUGUGGUGUGCUCGAGUGGCGAACGGGUGAGUAACACGUGAGUAACCUGCCCUUGACUUUGGGAUAACUUCAGGAAACUGGGGCUAAUACCGGAUAGGAGCUCCUGCUGCAUGGUGGGGGUUGGAAAGUUUCGGCGGUUGGGGAUGGACUCGCGGCUUAUCAGCUUGUUGGUGGGGUAGUGGCUUACCAAGGCUUUGACGGGUAGCCGGCCUGAGAGGGUGACCGGCCACAUUGGGACUGAGAGACGGCGCAGACUCCUACGGGAGGCAGCAGGGGGGAAUAUUGCACAAUGGGCGGAAGCCUGAGGCAGCAACGCCGCGUGCGGGAUGACGGCCUUCGGGUUGUAAACCGCUUUCGCCUGUGACGAAGCGGGAGUGACGGUAAUGGGUAAAGAAGCACCGGCUAACUACGUG
rnacentral:rRNA from 1 species